rnacentral:lncRNA from 1 species
UGACAGUAUUGUGACAUAAUGAAAAAGAUAUUUGCCAUAGAGGCAGGAUACCUCAUUCUCAAUCCAGUCUGCCAAUUUUCUGUUAUGUGACCACUAAAUUGUAACCACUAAUUAGUAAAUGUAUUAACUUCUCUGAAUCUCACUUACCUUACCUAUAAAACAAUAAUGUUUAUCUCCCUAAGCCCAGAACCAAGAGGUUAAACUGAAAUGAGAAAAGGUAAAAAUAGCUAUACACUGGCAUGGUAGCUAUCAUGGCCAUCAAAAGUGAACUCCUGACUGUGUGUGUGACAGUCUCACAGUAGACUCAAGACACUUAGUACUUGAACUCCACACAUCUGUGACUGUUAAUCAUUUCCAAAAAAUAAGUUCCUUGUUAUCUUUGUGGUAAGUAAUAUUUUCUAGAGCAUCAAUUAUAUUCCCAGUGGUGGUACUGGGAAAGUAAUUUCUCAGUUUUUGUCUUUAUAAGCAGUGGGUUUCAAU